rnacentral:rRNA from 1 species
UACGGAGGGUGCAAGCGUUGCUCGGAAUUAUUGGGCGUAAAGGGUAGGUAGGUGGUCUCAUUUGUCUGGGGUGAAAGCCUUGAGCUUAACUCAAGAAGUGCCUCAGAAACGGUGAGACUGGAGUCCUGGAGAGGGUCGUGGAAUUCCCGGUGUAGCGGUGAAAUGCGUAGAGAUCGGGAGGAACACCAGAGGCGAAGGCGGCGACCUGGACAGGUACUGACACUCAACUACGAAAGCGUGGGGAGCAAACAGG